GAACCAAUGAUCAGUCCCAAGGAAGAGCGGCUAACCCUCGUGCCAGCAGCCGCGGUAAUACAGGGGGCUCGAGCGUUAAUCGGAAUCACUGGGCUUAAAGGGUGCGUAGGUGGCUUGCCAAGCGUCCUGUGAAAUCCCACGGCUCAACCGUGGAACCGCAGGGCGAACUGGUAGGCUUGAGGCAUGUAGGGGCAGACAGAACAGUCGGUGGAGCGGUGAAAAUGCGUAGAUAUCGACUGGAAUGCCGAUGGGGAAGCCGGUCUGCUGGGCAUGUCCUGACACUGAGGCACGAAAGCGUGGGGAUCAAACAGGAUUAGAUACCCUGGUAGUCCACGCCGUAAACGAUGUGCACUAGACUGGUGCGGUUUUGACGCCGUAUCAGUCGAAGUAAAAAACGAUAAGUGCACCGCCUGGGG
rnacentral:rRNA from 1 species